UGGGGAAUUUUGCACAAUGGGGGAAACCCUGAUGCAGCGACGCCGCGUGAUUUAGAAGGCCUUCGGGUUGUAAAAAUCUUUUCUAUGGGAAGAAAAUGACAGUACCAUAGGAAUAAGGACCGGCUAAUUACGUGCCAGCAGCCGCGGUAAUACGUAAGGUCCGAGCGUUGUCCGGAAUCAUUGGGCGUAAAGGGUACGUAGGCGGGUAAGCAAGUUAGGAGUGAAAUCCUAUAGCUCAACUAUAGUAAGCUUUUAAAACUGCUCAUCUUGAAGUAUGGAAGGGAAAGUGGAAUUCCUAGUGUAGCGGUGAAAUGCGCAGAUAUUAGGAGGAAUACCGGUGGCGAAGGCGACUUUCUGGCCAUAACCUGACGCUGAGGUACGAAAGCGUGGGUAGCAAACAGG
rnacentral:rRNA from 1 species